rnacentral:rRNA from 1 species
GACAGAGGAUGCAAGCGUUAUCCGGAAUGAUUGGGCGUAAAGCGUCUGUAGGUGGCUUUUUAAGUCCGCUGUCAAAUCCCAGGGCUCAACCCUGGACAGGCGGUGGAAACUACCAAGCUGGAGUACGGUAGGGGCAGAGGGAAUUUCCGGUGGAGCGGUGAAAUGCGUAGAUAUCAGGAGGAACACCGAUGGCGAAGGCAGGUCUCUGGGCUGACACUGACGCUCAUGCACGAAAGCGUGGGGAGCAAACAGG